rnacentral:autocatalytically_spliced_intron from 1 species
GCGGCGAAGUCAGAAAAGCCGGCGGAUGAGUUGGUUGGAAUUUGAAAUCCUGACCGCACGCUUCACGCUGCCAGUCCCACACAUUACUCGAACUUGGGCGCAGGCUCGGAUAUGACGCGGGUUACUCUCGGGAAGAGCCGGGUGCGGGAAAUCCGCCCGCCCGGAUCUGUGAGGGCGAAGCCGAAUGGCAUAGCUACUCGACC